rnacentral:rRNA from 1 species
UACGGAGGGGGUUAGCGUUGUUCGGAAUUACUGGGCGUAAAGCGUACGUAGGCGGAUCAGAAAAGUUGGGGGGUGAAAUCCCGGGGCUCAACCCCGGAACUGCCUCCAAAACUCCUGGUCUUGAGUUCGAGAGAGGUGAGUGGAAUUCCAAGUGUAGAGGUGAAAUUCGUAGAUAUUUGGAGGAACACCAGUGGCGAAGGCGGCUCACUGGCUCGAUACUGACGCGUGAGGUGACGAAAGGUGUGGGAGCAAACA